GCCAGCGCUAAAGGCCAGGGGUAAAGGUCAGGGCUGAAUGCUAUUGAUACAGGUCUGGGGUAAAGGCCAGGGGUAAAGGUCAGGGCUGAAUGCUAUCGAUACAGGUCUGGGGUAAAGGCCAGGGGUAAAGGUCAGGGCUGAAUGCUAUCAAUACAGGUCUGGGGUAAAGGCUCGGGGUAAAGUUCAGGGCUGAAUGCUAUCGAUACAGGUCUGGGGUAAAGGCCAGGGGUAAAGGUUAGGGCUGAAUGCUGUCAAUACAGGUCUGGGGUAAAGGUCAGGGCUGAAUGCUAUCGAUACAGGUCUGGGGUAAAGGUCAGGGCUGAAUGCUAUUGAUAUAGGUCAGGGGUAAAGGCCAGGGGUAAAGGUCAGGGCUGAAUGCUAUCGAUACAGGUCUGGGGUAAAGGCCAGGGGUAAAGGUCAGGGCUGAAUGCUAUCAAUACAGGUCUGGGGUAAAGGCCAGAGGUAAAGGUCAGGGCUGAAUGCUAUUGAUAUAGGUCUGGGGUAAAGGCCAGGGGUAAAGGUCAGGGCUUAAUGCUAUCAAUACAGGUCUGGGGUAAAGGUCAGGGCUGAAUGCUAUUGAUAUAGGUCAGGGGUAAAGGUUAGGGCUGAAUGCUAUUGAUACAGGUCUGGGGUAAAGGCUGGGGGUAAAAGUCAGGGCUGAAUGCUAUUGAUACAGGUCUGGGGUAAAGGCUGGGGGUAAAAGUCAGGGCUGAAUGCUAUCAAUAUAGGUCAGGGGUAAAGGCCAGGGGUAAAGGUCAGGGCUUAAUGCUAUCGAUACAGGUCUAGGGUAAAGGUCAGGGGUAAAGGCCAUCGAUACAGCCCAGGGACAAAGGUCAGGGGUAAAGGGCAUUGUAACAUGCCAGGAAUAUAGGCUGGGGUAAAGGUCAGGGGCAAAGGUCAGGGGUAAAGAUCAGAGUAAAGGUCAGGGGCAAAGGCCAGGCUGGGCAUUGACGGAAGUAAUAUUUUCAUGCAGUAAAGGCAGGAGGGAGAUGGGGAGAUCUUGUGUGGAGAUUGAAGCUGUCUUAAUG